AGCCUUUUGUAGUUCAUAAGUGUGAUGAUUGGGUUUUCAGACUCGUGUAUAAGAUGUGCCUCCCUCAUUCCUUGUUACAACAUCAGCACAUUACACAUAUGAAU
ensembl:snoRNA